rnacentral:rRNA from 1 species
GACGAACGCUGGCGGCGUGCUUAACACAUGCAAGUCGAACGGAAAGGCCUGCUUUCCCUUGUGGAUUGCGGGUACUCGAGUGGCGAACGGGUGAGUAACACGUGAGUGAUCUGCCCCCAACUUGGGUAUAAGCCUGGGAAACUUGGUCUAAUUCCCGAUAGGACUGCAGGGUGGUGCCUGUGGUGGAAAACGAUUUUCUAGUGGUUGUGGAUGAGCUCGCGGCCUAUCAGCUUGUUGGUGGGGUAAUGGCCUACCAAGGCGGCGACGGGUAGCCGGCCUGAGAGGGUGGACGGCCACAUUGGGACUGAGACACGGCCCAGACUCCUACGGGAGGCAGGAGUGGGGCAGAAUGCACAAUGGGCGGAAGCCUGAUGCAGCGACGGCGUGUGGGGGAUGUCGGCCUUCGGGUUGUAAACUCCUUUCGACCGCGAGGAAGCCACCUGGUUGGAAGGGUGGUGACGGUAGUGGUAGAAGAAGCACCGGCUAACUACGUG